rnacentral:rRNA from 1 species
CCUACGGGAGGCAGCAGUAGGGAAUUUUCGUCAAUGGGCGCAAGCCUGAACGAGCGAUGCCGCGUGAGUGAAGAAGGCCUUCGGGUCGUAAAGCUCUGUUGCGGGGAGCAAUGGCCGGGACGAGUCCCGGCCCGGAGAGUACCCGGAGAAAAAGCAUCGGCUAACUCCGUGCCAGCAGCCGCGGUAAUACGGAGGAUGCGAGCGUUAUCCGGAUUUAUUGGGUUUAAAGGGAGCGUAGGCCGCAUGUUAAGCGUGCCGUGAAAUGCCGUGGCUCAACCAUGGCACUGCGGCGCGAACUGGCUUGCUUGAGUGCGCGGAACGUAUGCGGAAUUCGUGGUGUAGCGGUGAAAUGCUUAGAUAUCAUGAAGAACUCCGAUCGCGAAGGCAAGUGUCCGGGGUGCAACUGACGCUGAGGCUCGAAAGUGCGGGUAUCAAACAGGAUUAGAUACCCUUGUAGUC